UUUUAUCGGAGAGUUUGAUCCUGGCUCAGGACGAACGCUGGCGGCGUGCCUAAUACAUGCAAGUCGAGCGGAUUGAUGGGAGCUUGCUCCCUGAUAUCAGCGGCGGACGGGUGAGUAACACGUGGGUAACCUGCCUGUAAGACUGGGAUAACU
rnacentral:rRNA from 1 species